CAAUCCAUCGCCACCCACGACUCCCUCACCCUGACUAGGGUUCCUAGCCCUAUCUUCCGCCGCCGUUGCGUGUUCCCGUCUGACAUCGCCCGAGCGCUUUGUUGACCUCGCCGGGAGCAGCCAGCUGGAUCACGCCGCCAUGCCUCCCUCUCUCCCUUCUCUUCUUUUCCCCUACCUUCUCUCUCUCCUCUGAACUGCGCAUCGCUCCUGUUAGAGGCCGGGGACACCUCGGCACACGCCGCCUACCGGGAGACGCCGGUGCUGGACAGGGAUAGCCAGGCAGCCGUGCGCGUGCAAGGUCGGUUCGCGGCACUGCCUCGUCCAGCCCAAGCCGCUCAUCCGCGUCGCCGUGUUCGCUCAAGCCGUUGCGUCCCGUGGAGGAGGGAGCAGGCACAUGAACGCGGGCGCCGCUGGAGAUGUUGAUGAAAAGCAGAGGUAGUUGCCGCUUGAUUCAGUGCAAGAAAAAUUGAAGUCAUGGAAUUUCAUUCCGUUGAUGCUUCAGCAAUCCUUUUAUCUCACCACGCCCACAUGCUCCGAUGAAGCAAUUCUCAACGGCGGUGGCUGGUUGACUCGUCUCAGGUCACAGUGAUUAGUGCCAAUUAGCCUGAUCGUGCAGUGAUGCCAGCUGGAUCACGCCGCCGUGCCUCCCUCUCUCCCUUCUCUUCUUUUCCCCUACCUCUCUCUCUCCUCUGAACUGCUCCUCUCUGCAGGUGCCGCCAUGGCCGCGUCUUGGAGCUCGCCGCCGUGGGCUGCGCGCCCCUUCGAUGACAGCCUUCCUCGCCCACGUCCAGGUCCUCUCAAUCCUAAUUUGACGAAUGGGAGCGGAAGCUGCAAUGUCAAGAUCCGCAAGCAGGACAUGAACCACCUUGCCAUGAAUUUCCUCGUCACAUUAGGAUUCAUCGACCCCACCAACAGGUUCUGUAUCAAUUCCGGCACCCAACGUACUGUAUGCCCACACGUUUAAAUCAUGCCGCUCUUACUCCUGCAAUACUCCAAGAAUAGUACUUGAGAUUUAGGCAGCAGUGGGCAUGGUAAUUAAUUUUUAUUUAGUUGGUUCAGUUACUAUCAUUGGAAGUGCCAGACAGAUCUCGCCGUCAAGAGUAGCGCUGCAGGGUCAUUCACCUGGUUGGCCUCUUAUGUAACUGGUGUUGUUGUGUCCAUGUGGAAGGAGAGCCCGCUUCUCCGGGACGCCGGCGCUGACAUGCUCACCGUAGGCGACGUCAUGGCGGUGCUCGACUUCAGGGAGGAGGUCGGCAACCACCACUUCUUGGACCAAGUAAAGCUUUGCUCGCCAUUGAAAUAAUCUCGUUUCUUGUUUUUUCUCUUUCUGAUAUGAUUGAUGAUUUAUUCCAUUUGCACAAAAGGAUUCUCGAGGAAAUAGCACAAGCUAAUUCAAAAUCAUCUCUUAGUUGAUCAAGCAUGUAAUCAUAAAGUGAAGGUAGAGAAGUUUGGAAUAGUAACCUCGUGGUUUCAUUACCCACGCAUUGGAGAUCCCAUGCAAACUAUUGUGAUUUGUGAGAAGUUUCAGAAAUUUGCAAUUUGUGAGCGGGUACUAAGUUCUUUCUCAUGCAGUUACAUUGUUGUCCUGUGCUACAUUCUCCUUUGAUCCUGUAAGCAAAAGGCAAUAUAUAUACUGUUGGACCUUGAAGCUCCAAGACAUCUUAUGUUUUGUAUGUACUCCCCUGGUUAUUUAGCAAAUGCCAAAAAAGUGUGUUCUUUCUGUCAUGAGUACAUCGUUUGGCUGGGAGUUUUUCCUACUUGUUAUAAAUAUUAGGAACUUAAGCACAUAACGACGUAUCGAUCCUGUAAGCAAACAUCCUAUAUGGUGUGCUCUAACAUUUUCUUUGAUAUAGUUUUUUUUAACAAAAUAACGGUGCCCAAGUCACUUCUAAUAAAGAGCAUGUGCUCGUGUAAUAGUACACUCAUAAUUCAUUGUGAUCAAAUGUACACAGAGUUUGCAGAAGCUAUGGAAGAAAUGGUAACUUUCUUACUUGGGAAAACUGCAUUAGAUAACUAUGAUGAUGACAGUGGUAAAUUGUCUGAAUCUAUAAGCACAUUAUGUGGAAGCUUGCAUGCUAGGAUUUAUUCCUAGAAGUUCUUGCACAAAGGACAUUUCCUGAUUUAAAGCCAACUAUGUUAUAUUUUGAUGGUAAUGCUCCUUUUUUCAAAAUUACCAGAUCCUUCAUGAAAAGAACUAUUGAUGUGACUUUUUCUAUACAUGUGGUGAUGCUAAGGCUCAGUUUGAACUACAAAAGUUCGUGGAUAACUAUGUCGGUUUUAUUUCUACCUUAGUAAAAUUGAACUGAAAUAGUAUCAGAAGUUGACGUGCUUCCAUGUACUGUAAUUUUCUUAUACUCUGACCCGUAUUAUUGUGUUUUUUCAGCGUAAAAAUGUCAUAAAUACAGUCACAAACCCAUCAGAUCUAUGCUAUGGAUGCCGUGGUGAUUGCUGGAACGGAGGGUUCCUGGGAUGAUGAGAAGGUAUGCAGAUUCAUACUGUUCCAGGUUCAGACUGAAAUCUAAACUAAUGAAUGUAGAGUUGUAGACACAAUAUUUUUGUUGAUGCUGGUCAUCAAGUAAUUCAUGAAGUUGGGAUGGGGGGGGGGGGGGGGAGAACAUUAUGGGGAGUAUUGAAUUAGCCGAAAACGCAGAGUUCGUAAUUUAGUUUUUAGAUUGGAAUGUGCUAUGCAUUACUAAAAGAGUUUUUUUUUCUGGAGAUGAAUCUAAAUGGUCUGACGGUCUGAGUACUCGUCGGCAUGACGAGGUGACUACAGAUCCACCAUAACAUGCGAGUGGCAAUGCUCCAGGACAAGCAGGUCAAACUAUUGUCCAAAUAAUUUUUUGUACGAUUGGAAGUGCAAGCAUUUCUCCAAGAUGGUUUGGUCCUGGUGUUCAUGCAGCCGGCGAUGGCAUACCUUCACAGAAUGGAGUACGGCGUAGGUGUUCAAGGGUUGUAUCAGGCCGCAUGGGAAGAACCUGAAGUUGCAAGUGGAUACGGUCAAGAACAUAGUUAAAGGUGAUAUGGGAGAUAAGUUCCAUAGGCAAGCUGGAUUGAGGCUUGAUGAGCCGAACCCAAGGGACGUGCUUAGUUUCUACCACAAAAUUCUAUCAUUCACAUCAACGGAUGUUGCAAAGAAGUGGUUCAAGCAUACUUAUCCAAAUCUUAUAAUCCUGAGGGAGAAGACUUUGUGAAGGAGUUCAGGCUGAAUGGCCAGUUAACAAGAAUCGGGUGGAUCUGCGUGUGGUGGAUGAUCGUUUACAAGGAAUGUUGAAUGUAUGGUUCCUGCAGAUGUUCAGGUGGCGCCACGUAUUCGACCUGCGAUUUGUGGGUGGGGUGGGGCAACGCGUGUGGCGGUGCGCGGGGUGGAGGAUAGGUUGGCGUUGGAGGGGGUCACAAGAGUCGGAGGAGGGGACAAAGUGGGGAGCACAAUAUGGUGCAUGUAAUAUUCAGCCGGUGCAAACACGCGUCAAAACGACUGAUGUUUGGUCGCUGCCAUAUCAUUAUUAUUAUUUUUAUAAAGUGGGUAUAUAUUCGAAGGAUUUUAGACAUAUUGUUUAAUGUGUACGGCGUUUUGGAUCUCGGCAAACAAAUUUAUAAAGUGCUAGCUCACAUUGCGGCAUUUACAUUGGUAAGUCAAAGGUUUGCUUUUCCAUAGUUUUAUAAACGAUGAAUAUUUAUGCAGACACGUAGCAACUUAAUUAGACAAAGGGUGGCCUUGAAUUAAAGGGUGAUAAUGCUCUCAUGUCUGCCCUCUAUCUUCCUAUAUUCGCAGUGCAAUAUCAUGUAGGGCAUGUUCAUUUGAAUACAUUUUUUAGAGGUGCAUGAAUUGCCGAUGGUAGAACUCUUUUAUUUGCCCUUCGGAUUUACACCCCUACUACCUGGUUUGAAGGAUCAUCUUAAAUAUAUAUUUUCAGUGUAUGCCUUUGAUUUUCGAAAUGAUCUUUACAUUGUUUUCUUGCAUAAGCUUUGAUUUAAAAAACUUUCAAUGUUAUAGGAGAGACAAAGAGCAACAAGUCACAUUAGAUAUUGUGUAGUAGAAACAUUCGUUAUCUGCUGAUGUGUGCAUAUGUGCUUGCUACCACUGCUGUGUCUGGAAGAGAAAAGGAAACCAGAAGGGACAUCACUAUAGAUACAUGUGCGUAUUUGCUGCCGCUGUUGGUGUAUGUGUAUGUGCUUGCCAGUUGCCACCGCUACUGUGUCUGGAAGAGAAAAAGAAGCAUGUAUGGUGGGAGGUGAAUUUGCACUGACCCAUCUAAUGUGUAUGUCGUGUACUGUUUGACUUCAGUUCAGUAAUGCCACCGCACCUGGUGCUGCUGCUACUGCAGCGACAACCAAUGCGUAAAAUAGAGGCUGCAACUUUGGUACUUCAAAGAGGAAAGGAAAACAUGACUGUUUCAUGGUGAGUUAAGUAGUGGCUUAACCGAACCUGCAGUCUUACAAGAGCAUUGAUUGUCUAAUUAAUGACCAAGCUGUUGUUUGUUAAUUUUGAUUUUGAUUGUACUUCUGAAAACAUAGAUGUAGUAAUAUCAUUAUAGCAAAUAUUGUGGUACAUUUCUUACAAAGGUCGAGCAGAGCUCCUAAAUGUCUUGAAAUUUAGUUGCUCAUGAAACAGAGUUAUUAUUGUCUUAGAAACAGUGAAGUCACUGCCAUCGCCAUGAGAGUGGAGCAGCAUCACUAUAAGAUGUGGCGGAUUGGUGGGUCCCGGGUCAAAAAGUGCCCAAGACUCGCGCAACCAAGUUUUCUGGAGGCCGAGCAACAUGACAUAGCCACGGACAAAAUGGAGGAAGGGAAGGGUGUGGAGGAGAGGGGAAUUUACCACUUCGCGCAACGGCAACGUUGCGUGAGGGGCAUUCAUCUUCCACCUGAGCCGCAUAUGCAACUAAUUUUCAAUAAACAUUCUUGCAAGAGCAAGAGGCUCGCCACUGUUGGUCGUUAGUACUCUUGCUUAUAAUUUCUUCACUUCAACUUAUAAGGAAACAUAGUAAUGCUUGAUGCACGACUUGAUACCUUCAAGGAUAAGCUGUCUGGAAAGCUUCUACCUGAUCAGCGAGGUAGUUGCCAUAAUACUACCUGAUCAGUAGACUCACUUUUACUUCUAUUCUCUUUCCUUUUUACAUGAUUAUUUAACAUUGACACGGGGAUUCCAUAGUGUAUUCUCUCCAAUGGAGUCGAUAUAGCCAUAUACCAUUCUUCAGAGAAUGGAAUAGGUGAGUAGAACAAAACUAUAGGUGCAAAGAACAAGCAUGAUAUAUGCCGAUGUACCGAAUACAUUUCAUGCAGUGAAGUAAAAGAAAAAAUGUAUCAGAGAAGUUCUUUACUAAGUAUCUUGCAUGUACAGAACGAUUAUUGUUAUUCCUCGCUGAUCAGUGAUAAAAGAUAUUGAACA